rnacentral:misc_RNA from 1 species
GUUUGCUGCCUUGGAGUCUCCGUAUCGGAGUCGAGGAUUCUACUGGUUCUGGAGGUUCUGUGUUAUUUCUGUCAUUGAAAUUAGCAGUUUUGCUGGGUUACUUUUGUGGAGCUAAUAUGAGUUUCACUGGUCCUUCCAUGGGUUCUGGCAGUAAAACUGCUAGAAGGGCAUUUGAGUUUGGAAGGACCUAUGUCGUUAGGCCCAAAGGUAAACAUCAAGCUACUGUUGUGUGGUUACAUGGUUUGGGUGAUAAUGGAUCAAGCUGGUCCCAGCUUUUGGAGACCCUUCCUCUUCCAAAUAUUAAAUGGAUAUGUCCAACUGCUCCAACUCAACCUAUAACUGUAUUUGGAGGCUUCCCAUCCACAGCAUGGUUUGAUGUGGGAGACCUUUCAGAAGAUGCUCCUGACGAUAUAGAGGGUUUGGAUGCUGCAGCAGCACAUGUCGCAAAUUUAUUGUCAACAGA